rnacentral:rRNA from 12 species
ACCUUCGGCAAUGGAUGUCUAGGCUCCCACAACGAUGAAGAACGCAGCGAAAUGCGAUACGUCAUGCGAAUUGCAAAACCUCGAGAAUCAUCAAAAUUUUGAACGCACAUUGCGCUCCCGGGACAUGCCCGGGAGCAUACCUAGCUGAGUGU